AAAGUUCUCUCUUCUUUGAGGGAACAACUGAGGAAGUGACUGGUUGUCCUGCUACAGAAAGUGUUAUCUGCAAGGUGCUUGGUUCUUCUUUGGAAGCUAAGGCCGCAUUGGGGUGACUCCUCACUUUAUCCAGCCACUAGCACCACUACAAACAAGUCUCUCCUCAUCCUUCUGCUGAAAUGGCCAUCUCUGAGCUCGCUUGCAUCUACUCUGCCCUCAUCCUUCAUGACGAUGAUGUUACAGUCACGGAGGAUAAAAUCAAUGCCCUCAUUAAAGCAGCAGGUGCAAGUGUUGAA